AAAAAAGAAAGGAAAAAGACGGUCCCUGCUCUCAUGGAUCUUAGUCGAAUGGAUAGUUUGUGUCAUCUGCAUAUUUGAAAAAAUGGCUUUAUUCAAAUCAUUGAGAAAAAACCCCCAGCAAAGAAGCAAGUGAGGAUCCCUGGGAUAUAGCAGAAGCUGAUCAAUGGGAAGGGGCAAAAUCACAUACCAUGAAGGUGGCUUGCCAUUUGUUUCAACAAGGAUGGGUAUUAAGCCUAAGGAGAAAGAAUUCUAACUCCAAGAACUCUUUAGGUCAGAAGUUAUACAGGUCCAGAACAUUGAUUGGCUAUAUAUGAUCCAGAGUACAGACAGAAGAGAACAUCCAUUAGAAGAGUUCUAUGCCCAUUUCACCUAGUUGUGAGAAAGCAUGA